rnacentral:lncRNA from 1 species
GGUUCGAUGUUUUCAUUUUAUAGUUUCGUGUGCAUAUUUUACUGUUUUAUUGAUUAUGGAUUGAAUGACCUGGAUAUUGAUGCUAUAUGUUGUCUGUUUGGCAUAAAUUAUCGUUUUGCUUGUUUGUAUGUGAUUGAUAAUGCUGACUGAGGGAAAAGGAGAAUGAAAGAUUAUGUGAAUGAAAAUUGUAUAAUGUGUUCAGCCUGACUAGAUAUCCUGGGAGAUGGUGGACGGACCGGGUCCGUAGGGAACCCUACCGGGAUUGUGGUCUCCCAAACCGGACGGG